rnacentral:RNase_P_RNA from 2 species
AGAGCAAAUCGGCUUAUCGCUAUGUCUUGCAUAGAGGAAAGUCCGGACACCAUAGAGCAGUAUAGCGGGUAACGCCCGUCCGUCGUGAGACGAGGACAAGUGCAACAGAAAGGAUGUACAGGUAAUGCUGUAGUGAAAUCAGGUAAACUCUAUACGGUGCAACGCCAUGUAUACCGACGUUUGAGGGCUGCUCGCUCGAUGUUGGAGGGUAGGCGGUUUGAAUGAUUCAGUAAUGAAUUAUCUAGAUAAAUGAUAAGCACCACCUUGGGUGGGACAGAAUCCGGCUUAUGAUUUGCUCUUUUU